GGACACUAAUGUUUUUGUCACUUUUUAUGGAAUCAAACUCAAAAGAGACAGACAGGUUCAUAAUGGAUAUGAGGAAGUUAUUUCCAAAACAAAAAAAGGAGCCACAUUCAGUCCAAAGAGGGAGAGAGGAAAGAGGGAACGUGAGGAGAAAGUACAAGGUCAGGAAGAACCAGGUAAGAAAACAGACAGGGAACAGUGACAGGCAAAACAGAAACUAUUAAACUGACAAAGAGAAAAAACCUGAUUUUACUCCUACAGUCUGGAAGUUGUGUCUCCCUAUAUUAAAGCUGCUAUACAGAAUCUGCAAAACAAACUGGGUUGAAACAUUUUUGACCCUCUUUAACAACAUUCCAACAUAACAUUAUCAUUGAUUGGGGAGAUUAAAAUCAAUGAUAUAUUUUUAUGUGGUUCAGCCACAACUCUACUAAAACCUCAGCCAGUAAUAGGUAGGCCAACUUUUGGACCGUCCAGUUGUCUGUAUGACUGCCACAGUACGUGCGCCACGUUUCAGAA
ensembl:lncRNA